rnacentral:rRNA from 1 species
GACGAACGCUGGCGGCGUGCUUAACACAUGCAAGUCGAACGGAAAGGCCCUGCUUUUGUGGGGUGCUCGAGUGGCGAACGGGUGAGUAACACGUGAGUAACCUGCCCUUGACUUUGGGAUAACUUCAGGAAACUGGGGCUAAUACCGGAUAGGAGCUCCUGCUGCAUGGUGGGGGUUGGAAAGUUUCGGCGGUUGGGGAUGGACUCGCGGCUUAUCAGCUUGUUGGUGGGGUAGUGGCUUACCAAGGCUUUGACGGGUAGCCGGCCUGAGAGGGUCACCGGCCACAUUGGGACUGAGAUACGGCCCAGACUCCUACGGGAGGCAGCAGUGGGGAAUAUUGCACAAUGGGCGGAAGCCUGAUGCAGCAACGCCGCGUGCGGGAUGACGGCCUUCGGGUUGUAAACCGCUUUCGCCUGUGACGAAGCGUGAGUGACGGUAAUGGGUAAAGAAGCACCGGCUAACUAUGUG